rnacentral:rRNA from 1 species
CAGUCGCCGCGGUAAUACGUAGGCAGCGAGCGUUGUUCGGAAUUACUGGGCGUAAAGAGUGUGUAGGCGGUGCUCUAAGUUCGGUGUGAAAUCCCCCGGCUUAACUGGGAGGGCGCGCCGGAAACUGGAAUGCUCGAACGUGGGAGAGGAAAGCGGAAUUCCUGGUGUAGCGGUGAAAUGCGUAGAUAUCAGGAGGAACACCUGCGGUGUAGACGGCUUUCUGGACCAUUGUUGACGCUGAGACACGAAAGCGUGGGUAGCAAACAGGAUUAGAUACCCGUGUAGUCCCUGUCUCUUAUAC